UGUUUUACAUUUUGUUUUCCAGUGAGGCUUCCCAUCUCUCUGAACUAGCCCCAAACUUGUGUGGGUUCACUCCUCACAUACACAGAUCACAAUUUAGCCAAAAUUUCCAGGGAACCCCUACAUCAAUUUCCAGAACUUUCUCCCCGUGCAGUUUUCUUUCUGAUAUUCUGUCCUGCAAAUUUUAGCCAUCUAGGCCUCCCUGAACUUCAAUUUCAGUCUCCAGAACUCAGUGACACUACUGGGCUUUGUUUGGGCUCCCAUUGCCUGCAUUGCAACCCAGAAACUACCUCUAGGCAGUAAGCAGGGGUAAUUAUAGAGCUGACCUCAUUUGUUUCGCUUUUCUUUGUUCAACUGCAUGUUGUUCAAUGUCUAAAAAGAGUUGUUUCACCUAUGUCUUAGUUUUAAACAGUGAAAUGGCUAUUUCUACAGCAGUUAAUCCUUCAUGGGUAGAAUUAGAAGUCCACUAAAUGCCAAAUAUUUGAACUUGUAUGUCUUAAUCACAGUGCUGAUAAAUGGCCUUUGGUUGUAUAUUAAAAUGAAACUAAACAGAAUUCUACAUUAUUUGCUUAUAACAACCAAAGAACUUGUAUUUUAAAAUGAGUUUACUACUUAAUAAAGAUUGCCAAAGCUUAUAAGCCUGAGAACAGUAGUGCCAAGACCAACAAUUUUCAAUGGAGCUUAUGUCUGAAUCUCCUGUAAAACUUAAAAUUUCAGAUACCUGCCUUUACACCAUUAAAUCAAAACUUUAGGAGUCCAGGCAUAUAUGUUUUUUUAAAAGCUCCUUAUGUGGUUCUGAUAUUCCUUAUUAAGAACUAUUAUUCACUACUUUUCUAGACAAUAUUAUUACAAUUUGAGUAAAUAAAUUAUAGUUGGCCCUUAAACAACACGGAUUUGAACUGCAUAGGUUCACUUAUAUGUGGAUUUUCUUCUGCCUCUGCCACUAAGACAGCAAAACCAACCUUCCUUUUCCUCUUCCUCUUCAGCCUACUCAACAUGAAGACAGCAAGAAGGAUGAGGACCUUUAUGAUGAUCCACUUCCACUUACUUUUAUCACCAGAAAGGGACAUAGUGGAGCUGACAGAAAAUAUAGCUAUUACAAACAGAACAUCUCAUAAAUGAAGAAACCAUGAAUGAAAAUGACUAUUCUGAUUUCUUAAGGAAUAUCAGAAAUACUUACAAAGCAUUCUGCAGCAUCAUCCAUAAGGCCAAGUUGAAAUCGCUGCUCAUCUUUGAAGCUUUCUGCAAGAGCAUGCCUUAUGUUAUCUGAGGGAAGUGCUUUUUCUCGACUGUGUUGGAACUGUGCAAAUAUUGUCUGGGAAUCAACGAGAAAAUCAAUCUUUUUCAGGCAUACAAAAGGUGAAAGAAUUCAUCACCAAUAAACCUGUAUUACAAGAAAAAUCCUUCAAGCCAAAGAAAAGAAUAUCAGAUGGAAUGCGAUUUAUGCAAAAAAGUGAUGAGCACCAGAAAUGGCAACUUGGUAGAUAAGUAUAAGUAAAUAGUCUUCAUGGUAAAGGUCAGUGGAAUGCUCAUUUAAAGAAAAAAAAAUACAUCACCAUAGGAAUACUUCUCCAUGUUCUAACCCAUUUAAGUUUCCUUACUCCAAAUUGUCACCUGUUCUGUGUUUUGUUUCCCUGAACUAUAGUAUUUUGGGUGCCAAUGAAAAGGACAGAAACAGAGGGGAAAACAAAAGUGAAAAAGAAAAAGGGGUAAACAAAAAAAUAUCUGAAAUGCCAGAAACCCUUUCUCACAGCCUGAUUCAAUCAAAAGCAUUUAAUUCCAGGUCUUUUGGUAUCUAAUACUUCACUAUAUCCAGUGCCAUUGAAUAAAUAUUUUUCUGCAUUUGUGACAGUAAUGUCAGUGGGAUCUUUGAGCCAGGGCAGAACACUACUAUUUAAGUAUCCUAAAGUAAAUUACCAUGAAUGUUUUCUUAAUACCAACUGCUUCUCUUUCCCUGGGUGAGUUAGAGAACGUUCAAGUUUGGCAUCUGUUUCGGGUAAAGGGUAACUGAGAACAUAGCUCUGAGUCAGAUGUCUGUGCACUUAAUACAUUCUACAUUUAUCUGUCAAAUGAUCUAAUCAACCAAUAUUUUUCUCCAUUAUUUUUCAAAAGAAAAUACAUAUGAAAAGUGAAUCAUUACAUAUGAAUUCUUUCAUGGUAUAUUCUAAGCUCAAUAGAAAAAAUUAUCAAUAUUCUAAAUCUUCCUCAUCUUUAGUGCUCUACAAUGGUCAGAAGGACAUAGGAUCUACAAAAUCUAUGACUGCUGAAUAAAAACUAUAUUAUGCAUAAGAAAGUGUAUCAUUGUCUAAGGCAGAAAAGCAGGUUAAUUAAAAGAUUUUCAACAAGAAUUGAAGCAAAACAGAUUAUCCUUCAAUUUACCCAAAACAGUGUAGCCCAAAUGCUGAUUCUGCAGAGAUAAUUUAAGGACCACAGUGAAAGGUGAAGGAAGUUUGAGUACUGAGAUAAAAAAAACCUCUGCAUUCUCAUUUCAAUCCAAGCAGCUUAUGUCUUUUUAUUCUAUCUACAGAUAUCCAUAUACUGAAUUUUUUUAAAGGGAGGGGUGUUAGCUGACUAAAACAAAAAUGUUUAUGUAUCUUAGAAAAAUAUUAAUUUACUAAACAUUUUAAAUAAGAUUUAUAUCAUAGUGAUACAUCAAUCUGUUGAAACCAUUUCCAUUUAUUAUAAAAAUCGAAAUGACCAGCCAAAACAUUUUUGUUCCCAUUAAAAGUUAUAUUAAAAAGUCAUUCUAGUUUAUAAUUUUAUUUUUAAUUUAUGAGCUAAAGAAGCAUUAAACAAAGGAUUUUCUGAGAAGUAUUUUUUUUUAAUGAAGUAAUUAUGGUCUCACCUGUACAGCACUAUUAAGAAAGCAGCUGUUUUGUCCUGGUUCAUUUAACAAGCCUUU